rnacentral:rRNA from 1 species
UACAGAGGUCCCGAGCGUUGUUCGGAUUCAUUGGGCGUAAAGGGUGCGUAGGCGGCGGGGUAAGUCUGAUGUGAAAUCCCGGGGCUCAACCCCGGAACUGCAUUGGAUACUGCCUUGCUAGAGUACUGGAGAGGGAACUGGAAUUUACGGUGUAGCAGUGAAAUGCGUAGAGAUCGUAAGGAAGGCCAGUGGCGAAGGCGAGUUCCUGGACAGUAACUGACGCUGAGGCACGAAGGCCAGGGGAGCAAACGGG